rnacentral:rRNA from 1 species
CUUGACGACCAUAGAGCAUUGGAACCACCUGAUCCCAUCCCGAACUCAGUAGUGAAACGAUGCAUCGCCGAUGGUAGU